rnacentral:rRNA from 1 species
GCGCAGCUACCAUGCAGUCGAGCGGAACGAGUUAUCUGAGCCUUCGGGGGACGAUAACGGCGUCGAGCGGCGGACGGGUGAGUAAUGCCUAGGAAAUUGCCCUGAUGUGGGGGAUAACCAUUGGAAACGAUGGCUAAUACCGCAUAAUGCCUACGGGCCAAAGAGGGGGACCUUCGGGCCUCUCGCGUCAGGAUAUGCCUAGGUGGGAUUAGCUAGUUGGUGAGGUAAUGGCUCACCAAGGCGACGAUCCCUAGCUGGUCUGAGAGGAUGAUCAGCCACACUGGAACUGAGACACGGUCCAGACUCCUACGGGAGGCAGCAGUGGGGAAUAUUGCACAAUGGGCGCAAGCCUGAUGCAGCCAUGCCGCGUGUGUGAAGAAGGCCUUCGGGUUGUAAAGCACUUUCAGUCGUGAGGAAGGUAGUGUAGUUAAUAGCUGCAUUAUUUGACGUUAGCGACAGAAGAAGCACCGGCUAACUCCGUGCCAGCAGCCGCGGUAAUACGGAGGGUGCGAGCGUUAAUCGGAAUUACUGGGCGUAAAGCGCAUGCAGGUGGUUUGUUAAGUCAGAUGUGAAAGCCCGGGGCUCAACCUCGGAAUUGCAUUUGAAACUGGCAGACUAGAGUACUGUAGAGGGGGGUAGAAUUUCAGGUGUAGCGGUGAAAUGCGUAGAGAUCUGAAGGAAUACCGGUGGCGAAGGCGGCCCCCUGGACAGAUACUGACACUCAGAUGCGAAAGCGUGGGGAGCAAACAGGAU